rnacentral:rRNA from 1 species
GACGAACGCUGGCGGCGUGCUUAACACAUGCAAGUCGAACGGAAAGGCCCUGCUUUUGUGGGGUGCUCGAGUGGCGAACGGGUGAGUAACACGUGAGUAACCUGCCCUUGACUUUGGGAUAACUUCAGGAAACUGGGGCUAAUACCGGAUAGGAGCUCCUGCUGCAUGGGGGGGGAUGGAAAGUUUCGGCGGUUGGGGAUGGACUCGCGGCUUAUGAGCUUGUUGGUGGGGUAGUGGCUUACCAAGGCGUUGACGGGUAGCCGACCUGUGAGGGUGACCGGCCACACUGGAGCUGAGACACGGUCAAGGGUCCUACGGGAGGCAGCAGUCGCGAAUCGGCCGCAAUGGGGGAAAGCCUGACGGAGCGGCGCCGCGUGAGUGAUGAAGGCCCUCGGAGCGUAAAACUCUGUUAUGAGGGAAAAACAAAUGUGGAAGUAACUAUGCAGGGCGUGACGGUACUUAAUAAGAAAGCCCCGGCUAACUACGUG